rnacentral:piRNA from 1 species
UACAGUUUACUUUGGUCACAUUGACACAUGU